AACUCAGACAUUAGGAGUAGAGAUGGACGAGUUGGUUGAAUAGUACGGUUUAUUUUCGUCCCACCACUUUCAACCGUUUUUUUUCGCUGGUUUUUUUCGUCUCCCCUCCCACCACCCUACCAGUUUAUCUUUUCACCACUAUUUCCUUAUAAACAAACACUUUCCUACCGUACAAAGAGUCAUAAAUCUAACUUUCCUAACUUAGCCUAAUCAACCGAUCCAUCUCAUUAAUGGAAUUUGCUUUAGGAAACAAAUAAUGGAUUUGAAGGAAACAAAUAAAGGACUUUAGGGGAAAAUCCAAUUGACUAAUCGACAAAUAUGUAUAUGAACCUUCCUUCUUCAAAACUCCACUCGGUCCUGAUGGUAGGUAUCGACGUUGUUUCGUUCGUCCUCCCUCAAACAUGUAAAAAAGGAAACUCCUCCCGCAAAACAGCCAUGAUUCACGGACGCGGGAUCAUUCCCCACCAAGAUUCCCAUCCCUCCGCGAAUCUACACGUCGACAUUUUGCCAUUCACAUCCGCGCCAGAUCCCUCACCGCAUUGUCUCCCCCAUCCCUCAUUGCACCAUGGCAGCUCCCUCCAUAGCACCACAUCGGCUUAUAGUCACGUCGCGCUAGGUAUGGGUCCACGGGAGCUAGCGCCUGGCGGCCCCAGGUCCAGUGUUACUCGUUCCCGCCACCGGCCUCGCCACCUACAUCGACGGCAGAAUCCGCAGCCUCCUCCUUCUAUUGGGCGAUACAAGGAUCCGAUGUUGUGUGCUGCUCCAUCUACACGCCUUCUUUCUUAUAGGAAUCGGCUUCGCAGAUAUUCAGUAGCUGAAGUCUCCCGAUUGAUAACAUACACAUCGAGGCCCGGAUACACAAGAGGCAGUACCAAGCAGCUGCAACUCUCCGGCGACAGCAACGACAAG